GACGAACGCUGGAGGCGUGCUUAACACAUGCAAGUCGAGCGGAGCGGCGAACGGGUGAGUAACGCGUGAGUAACUUCCCCCCUCUCUGGGAUAACAGUUGGAAACGGCUACUAAUACCGGAUAGUGGGGGGGGACUCGGGUCCUAUAAGCUUGUUGGUGGUGUAGUGGCCUACCAAGGCGACGCCGGGUAGCCGUCCUGAGAGGGCGACCGGCCACAUUGGGCUGAGAUACGGACCAAACUCCGACGGGAGGCAGCAGGGGGGAAUAUUGCACAAUGGGGGAAACCCGGAGGCAGCAACGCCGCGUGCGGGAUGACGGCCUUCGGGUUGUAAACCGCUUUCAGCCAUGACGCGGUAGUGGCAGAAGAAGCACCGGCUAACUACGUGCCAGCAGCCGCGGUAAUUC
rnacentral:rRNA from 1 species